GCUCCUGGCUCAGGACGAACGCUGGCGGCGCGCCUAACACAUGCAAGUCGAACGAGCGAGAGAGAGCUUGCUUUCUCAAGCGAGUGGCGAACGGGUGAGUAACGCGUGAGGAACCUGCCUCAAAGAGGGGGACAACAGUUGGAAACGACUGCUAAUACCGCAUAAGCCCACGGCUCGGCAUCGAGCAGAGGGAAAAGGAGCAAUCCGCUUUGAGAUGGCCUCGCGUCCGAUUAG
rnacentral:rRNA from 1 species